rnacentral:rRNA from 1 species
UCAAAUGAAUUGACGGGGGCCCGCACAAGCGGUGGAGCAUGUGGUUUAAUUCGAUGCAACGCGAAGAACCUUACCUGGUCUUGACAUCCACAGAACUUUCCAGAGAUGGAUUGGUGCCUUCGGGAACCGUGAGACAGGUGCUGCAUGGCUGUCGUCAGCUCGUGUUGUGAAAUGUUGGGUUAAGUCCCGCAACGAGCGCAACCCUUAUCCUUUGUUGCCAGCGGUCCGGCCGGGAACUCA